rnacentral:lncRNA from 1 species
CGCCGCCGUCCGGCCACCAACCGCCGCCGCACCGGUCCUGUUCGGUCGACCUCCAACCCAGCAACCUCCCUGGACUGGUGAGAGGAGCCCUAGCUCCGCCGUGAGAGAGCGGUGCCACCCGAAAGGUCCGACUGUCCAAAGCUUCACUUCGCCGGAACUUCCUCCUCCGGCCACCAAUCUGGGCAAGCUUGGUACGGUUUUGUAGCCCUCCUCCCGUGCAACAACCCCUCCAAGCAGCUCCCUCCCUCUUGAGCUAGGUAAGGAGAAAUGUGGAGUUGAAAUUUCUAGGCUUUUAAGUUGUUUUCGUUCGAUUAGCCUAGUUAGGCUUGGAAUUGGGUGAUGUGUUGGUCAUGAAAGUUGUAGAGCAUGAUGAGGAGAUUAUUCUGUCAAAAUUUUAUAGGUUUUGGAGGUCGCCGGAUUUGGCCUCCGGCCGCCGCUGCCGGCGGAGCCGGGAGAUUUUUAGGGUUUUAAAUAUGGAAUAUUAAGAGGAGUAUAUUGGUGUGAUUUAUGAAAUUUUUGGAUGAGAUUUGGAUAGGUUUGUGAAUUUCCGAAGUGUGGUAUUUUUGGCGGUUAAUUAAUGUAGAAUCCGGCCGUAGGAUUUAAGUCGUAUUUUGGAGAGGUUGUAUUUACGACUGUUGAGUAUGAUAUUUAAGUUCGGAUCGUUCCGAUGUAAGAAUAUCGAAGUUAGGCAAUGAUGAGCGUAAUUAUGGCUCUCGAGUAAUUUUUGCCUAUUUUGAUUAAAUAUUGGAUUAUUGGUUGGGAAAUUAAUAUUAUAUUUGGAACAGGACGUGAGAAGGCUCGAGCAGACGAGACCCCAGAUCGACAUCAGGCUUAGGCCUAAUUUGUGAGUGGACUUUUAUUUGAAAUAAUAUGCAUGCUAUGGUUCAUGAUUGAACAUUUCCUUUUGUUGGAGUUUUGACGUCAAUUAAUUUUGACGCUUUUAUUUCUCUGAGAGAGUUACCGAAAAUGGGAUUUUCGGUGAAUAUAAAUAUGUAUUUAUGAGAGAGUAUGUAUAGAAAAUGCUAGCUAGCCAUAUGUGUCUGUCCACCUUAAUGGCGUAGCAUAUAGCCGCAUUAUGGUGUGACGUGAGCGUUGGACGUAAGCGUAGUAGCCCUAUUUGAGUGUUUAAUUCUAUAUAGGGGGUAUGGGACACAUAUUUAUACACCCGUCUGUCCACCUUGAUGGCGUAGUGUAGCACCGCAUUAAGGCGUGACGUGAGCGUUGGACGCGAG